AAGAAUUCAACACGGUCUGAACUAGAGGAAAGAUAUAAGGAUUAGGGGGGCCCACUUGCAGUAAGCAAGGGGUUCUUCUCCCAGAAUCCUCCUCUUUUUGGCCUUUUAACUGUUUUUCUUUUUUUCCUUUUCUAAGUGAGAGGGCUCCCCCAUCCCAGUAGUUUCUGAUAGGGAAGUUAACGGAGGAGCGACCCCUGCUGGCUGAGAACUGCAAAUUCAGCAGGGCACAUCUGAGACACUCUGAACAGAUACAAACAGCCUCUAAACCAACUUUUCAAUCCCAAAUUCGAUUCCAGGCUUCAGGCUGAGGCCCUAGAGAGAAAAACCAGGUCCGAGGGAUCCAAAGCCAGGCAACAGGCACAAUGUAAAUGGGCAGAACCAAUUCCUGACGAGUGAACCCCCCACCACAUAGAAGGAGGCCAUGUUCCAUGGCACAAACAGGCCCAGGGAACUCAGUUUGCUGACAGCAGGAAGAAAGGGAGGGAGAAAGGGAGGUGUAGAUGAGAGCAGUUAAUUCCUAUUCUCCAGGUUUUCCCUGCUUCAUGGGUACAUACCGCAUUGGUACCCAUGGCUGGCACCUGACAAGGUCACCAGGGCUCAGGGACAAGAGGUGGAGGGUGCAGGGAGGAUACUCGCUUUCUCUCUCCAUCACACUCUGAGUAUUCGCUGAAAGAAGGAAGGGAGUAGGGGACGCCUUUUUUCCCUGUCUUUCAGAAUGGGCAACCAGUUCUCUUCACCACCCCCAGCUUAUACUCUUCUGGAGUAUAAUGUAUUCUGAACCAUUGGGAUUGCUUUGACCCUCAGCAUCUGAAGGAAAAGCACCUCAUAGCCCUCUGCACAAAGGAAGAGGUCCAAAGAGUUUUGAGAUUCUCAGAUGGUCAGUGGCCCCCAGAAGUUUAAGAUCCAUUUAAGGAGACUUUGAGGAGGGGGUUGCUCAGUGCGAGGGUCCAGGGACAAAUGUACCCAAAGCACACAGAGCCAAGAUCUUGGGUGGCUUAUAGGUGGGAGAGGCUCUCCCCAAUCUUCAACAGAGACCAGCUCCUCUUCCCACUGAGCUCAAUACCAGCCUUUGCGGGGUCCCUUUAGAAUCCUGCAACAAAUGGAGCCGGGGGCGGUGACACCUCCUCCCGCCUGCUUCUUUGAUAAUUGAGGGAACCUCAUGUUGAGAUCUCACACUUGUCAUCAUUUGAUAAAAAGCUAGGUUUAACUGGCCACUGACACAGAUGAUUUGGGGGGAAAUUAUAUAUUUUUGGGAGGGGGCGCUGCUGAAAUCCACAGGCUUCAUACAAUUCCAAACAAAGCCCCACAUAUCACUUCAAUUACCACCAAACAUUUCCAGUUCCCCUCCCCCAACAUAAACUAACACAAGCAAACACUUCGAAGUAGGGGUUCUAACUUAACUUUCUCCCUUGUCCGGAAGACAGCCAACAAAGGGUGGUAAGGCACCAUUUCUCCCAUCACCAUUUAGCUAAGAAAGCAAGGUCCAGGGCUGGGAGCACUCUUCUCUGCCCCACCCCCAGCCAAGUAGGUAAGGGAGAGAGGGGAGGAGGAGGUGUGGUUUGGUUAAACUAAUAAAAUGUUACAACCCUGUUAAAUACAAUUAAAAGGAUAGAUCUCUCAAAGAUAAUUAAAUGCACUUUAUUAUUAUGAUUAUUAGCUUUUAAUUUACACUGUUAAGAAAUGGAAGAUGGCGAAAACUGAGUUAUGUGGCAUACUUGUAUUCAAACUAAUCCUUUGGAAUUAAAAUUCUAAAAUAUUCCAAAUAGUUGAGGGAAAUAAUAUGUGUUGGAAACUGGAGUUCUCACACCAGCAAAGAUACUUUUAGACAUCACUUCUCAGGAAGUUAACUUAAGAGAAGUCUUGACAGGCCAGGCACUGUGGCUCACUCCUGUAAUCCCAGCACUUUAGGAGGCCGAGGCAGGCAGAUAACGAGGUCAGGAGUUCGAGACCAGCCUGGCCAAUAUGGUGAAACCCUGUGUCUACUAAAAAUACAAAAAUUAGCAAGGAGUGGUGGCGUGCGCCUGUAGUCCCAGCUACUUGGGAGGCUGAGGCAGGAGAAACGCUGCAGUGGAGGUUGCAGUGAGCCAAGAUCGCACCACUGCACUCCAGCCUGGGCGACAGAGCAAGACUCCGUCUCAAAAAAAGAAAAGUCUUGACUUUAUUUGUAGGGGCUCAGGGGAAGAUAAGAAACAUCUGCUUUAAACAUCCUAUCAAUCUUGUGAUAUAGAAUGUAAUGUAAACACUCAACCCACCCCCACAGCCACAAAGGGCCUAUCCAGAGACUUCUUCUAAAGCAAAGAUACCACCUUUUUUUUUUUUUUCAUUUUUUUCUGGACAAAUUUUAAAUAAACCAGUCUUUUUCUCAAAGGAAAACUAAAAAGCCCACCAGCCCAUCAGUCCCCUCCCUCCAACCCACCCGUCUUUAUCACUUUUUGAAAAAAAUAAGCCCCAAACAACAACAAAAACCCACACAAACCAACCCAGAAACUGCUAACCUGAACGCCAGAGAUUUUUGGCUGCGGGAGUGAAUAGACUGCAGGGAAAGAAGGGAAGAGAUGCUAGGAGGUCUCAAACUCCCCAGAUUUGCAAACAAGUGCUCAAAGGCGAAUGCUUCCCCUAGACAUGAAGGGAGGCAGGAUCAGUACUCCUGGUGGGGUGUAUGUUGGUGGGGGCUGUUUCAAAACACACUUCAAAAAGCAUUUUUGGGCCACUGGAAGCACUUGGUGCAGCGAAUUGAAAAGAAGAGAAGCCAGACAGGAGAAAGGUCUUCAUCUCUGUUGGGACUUUUCCAAGAGUGAGUGAAGAAGACAGGACAAAUGAGUAGGGAAAGAAAAGGGGGAAGGAAACAAAACGAAUCCAAGUCCUGUUCAAAAAUAUCCAACGGCUUCCACAGGCCCAGCGUCAGAGAGGAGGCUCACAAAUUUGGCUUUUAUAUUAGUUGAAUGGAACAAACUCCUAACGACUCAAAGCCAACAAAAACAGCGCUCAGGCUGGGUGCCUCUCCCAUCAGGCCCAGCCCUGCCAUAUCACCAAAAAACUCCAAAAGUGGGGCGGGUUUUGAAGGGCACUUAAGAAAGAGAACCCUCCCCCCAACUACACUCCCCAACACACACACACCUCAUUCUUCAGUCCUGGCGCCCACACCCCUGUUUUUUUUUCUCCUUUUUUCUUUUAAAUAGAAAAUAUAUAUAAUUAAAUUUACAAAGACUAUUUACAGUUUUAAUUACAAACCUUGUGGGGGUGUUGGGCAGAGAGUUCUCUUUUAAAAAGCAACCUAAAAGUGAAAUGGUUUCGAUCGUUUUUUAUUUAAAAAAAUAAAAUACGGAGUCUGUAGGGGCCCCACCCCGG
rnacentral:lncRNA from 1 species